UACGUAGGGCGCAAGCGUUGUCCGGAAUUAUUGGGCGUAAAGAGCUCGUAGGCGGCUUGUCACGUCGGGUGUGAAAGCCCGGGGCUUAACCCCGGGUCUGCAUUCGAUACGGGCAGGCUAGAGUGUGGUAGGGGAGAUCGGAAUUCCUGGUGUAGCGGUGAAAUGCGCAGAUAUCUGGAGGAACACCGGUGGCGAAAGCGGCUCACUGGACCUGAUCUGACACUGAGGUGCGAAAGCUAGGGUAGCAAACGGG
rnacentral:rRNA from 1 species